UACGUAGGGGGCAAGCGUUGUCCGGAAUCAUUGGGCGUAAAGCGCACGUAGGCGGCCCUGUAAGUCCGUUGUGAAAGUCAAAGGCUCAACCUUUGAAUGCCGAUGGAUACUGCAGGGCUAGAGUCCGGAAGAGGCGAGUGGAAUUCCUGGUGUAGCGGUGGAAUGCGCAGAUAUCAGGAGGAACACCAAUAGCGAAGGCAGCUCGCUGGGACGUAACUGACGCUGAGACGCGAAAGCGUGGGGAGCAAACAGG
rnacentral:rRNA from 1 species